AACGAACGCUGGCGGCGUGGAUUAGGCAUGCAAGUCGAACGAGAAAGAUUCUUUCGGGAAUCGAGUAAAGUGGCAAACGGGUGAGUAGCGCGUGGGAAACCUGCCUUUUAGUUGGGGAUAACACUUCUAACGAAGUGCUAAUACCGAAUACGAUCUUUUCACCGCAUGGUGGAUUGAUGAAAGAUGGCCUCUGUUUUAAGCUGUCACUAAAAGAUGGUCCCGCGUCCCAUUAGCUUGUUGGUGAGGUAACGGCUCACCAAGGCGAUGAUGGGUGGCCGGCCUUAGCGGGCGAUCGGCCACACUGGGACUGAGAUACGGCCCAGACUCCUACGGGAGGCUG
rnacentral:rRNA from 1 species